CGUCUAUAUACGUAUAGCAUAUCAAUAAGCGGAGGAAAAGAAACUAACAAGGAUUCCCCUAGUAACGGCGAGUGAAGCGGGAAGAGCUCAAAUUUGAAAUCUUAAAGGGUUUCCCUUGACGAAUUGUAGUUUAAAGAAGUGCUUUCUGUUAGAGAGGUUCGGUAAAAGUUCUUUGGAAUAGGACAUCAUAGAGGGUGAGAAUCCCGUAUUUGACCGUUACUUUCCUAACUGUGUGAUACACUUUCAAAGAGUCGGAUUGUUUGGGAAUGCAGUCCAAAAUGGGUGGUAAAUUUCAUCUAAAGCUAAAUAUUGGCGAGAGACCGAUAGCGAACAAGUACCGUGAGGGAAAGAUGAAAAGAACUUUGAAAAGAGAGUUAAACAGUACGUGAAAUUGUCAAAAGGGAAGCGUUUGACACCAGUGUUGUUUAGUUGAAAAUCAAUUCAAUAGUUUUUGAUUCUAAGUAGUAUUGACUUCAUCAGCUUGCUGCUUUCUUCUCAGAAAUUAUUGAAUGCACUUUUCAGUUAACAAGUCAACAUCAAUUUCUUUUGUUGUAAAAGGGUAAGAGGAAGGUGGCUUGCGCUUCGGCUCAAGUGUUUAUAGCCUUUUAUCUCUGCAAUCGGAGAGAUUGAGGUCUGCAGCGUAGAUCCUUCGGGGUUAGAUACAUUGGUGCUAAGCUAUAGCCUUGUAUAGACAACUUGUUGACUAUGCUCAGUCAUGUAGCUUACUCGCUGAUGCUAUUUUACCUACGCUUAGGAUGUUGACACACGCGCGUGCUCG
rnacentral:rRNA from 1 species